rnacentral:rRNA from 1 species
GUGGAUUAGAUACCCUAGUCGUCCACGCCGUAAACGAUGAAUGCUAGGUGUGGGGGCGCAAGCUUCCGUGCCGGAGUUAACGCAAUAAGCAUUCCACCUGGGGAGUACGGCCGCAAGGUUGAAACUCAAAGGAAUUGACGGGAGCCCGCACAAGCAGUGGAGUAUGUGGUUUAAUUCGACGCAACGCGAAGAACCUUACCAGGUCAUGACAUCCCGAGAAUCCGACGUAAUGGUUGGAGUGCCCUUCGGGGAAUUCGGUGACAGGUGGUGCAUGGUCGUCGCCAGCU